GAUGAACGCUAGCUACAGGCUUAACACAUGCAAGUCGAGGGGCAUCAGGAAGAAAGCUUGCUUUCUUUGCUGGCGACCGGCGCACGGGUGAGUAACACGUAUCCAACCUGCCCUUUACUCGGGGAUAGCCUUUCGAAAGAAAGAUUAAUACCCGAUAGCAUAAUGAUUCCGCAUGGUUUCAUUAUUAAAGGAUUCCGGUAAAGGAUGGGGAUGCGUUCCAUUAGGUUGUUGGUGGGGUAACGGCCCACCAAGCCUUCGAUGGAUAGGGGUUCUGAGAGGAAGGUCCCCCACAUUGGAACUGAGACACGGUCCAAACUCCUACGGGAGGCAGCAGUGAGGAAUAUUGGUCAAUGGGCGCUAGCCUGAACCAGCCAAGUAGCGUGAAGGAUGAAGGCUCUAUGGGUCGUAAACUUCUUUUAUAUAAGAAUAAAGUGCAGUAUGUAUACUGUUUUGUAUGUAUUAUAUGAAUAAGGAUCGGCUAACUCCGUGCCAGCAGCCGCGGUAAUACGGAGGAUCCGAGCGUUAUCCGGAUUUAUUGGGUUUAAAGGGAGCGUAGGUGGACUGGUAAGUCAGUUGUGAAAGUUUGCGGCUCAACCGUAAAAUUGCAGUUGAUACUGUCAGUCUUGAGUACAGUAGAGGUGGGCGGAAUUCGUGGUGUAGCGGUGAAAUGCUUAGAUAUCACGAAGAACUCCGAUUGCGAAGGCAGCUCACUGGACUGCAACUGACACUGAUGCUCGAAAGUGUGGGUAUCAAACAGGAUUAGAUACCCUGGUAGUCCACACAGUAAACGAUGAAUACUCGCUGUUUGCGAUAUACAGUAAGCGGCCAAGCGAAAGCAUUAAGUAUUCCACCUGGGGAGUACGCCGGCAACGGUGAAACUCAAAGGAAUUGACGGGGGCCCGCACAAGCGGAGGAACAUGUGGUUUAAUUCGAUGAUGCGCGAGGAACCUUACCCGGGCUUAAAUUGCAGUGGAAUGAUGUGGAAACAUGUCAGUGAGCAAUCACCGCUGUGAAGGUGCUGCAUGGUUGUCGUCAGCUCGUGCCGUGAGGUGUCGGCUUAAGUGCCAUAACGAGCGCAACCCUUAUCUUCAGUUACUAACAGGUCAUGCUGAGGACUCUGGAGAGACUGCCGUCGUAAGAUGUGAGGAAGGUGGGGAUGACGUCAAAUCAGCACGGCCCUUACGUCCGGGGCUACACACGUGUUACAAUGGGGGGUACAGAAGGCAGCUAGCGGGUGACCGUAUGCUAAUCCCAAAAGCCUCUCUCAGUUCGGAUCGAAGUCUGCAACCCGACUUCGUGAAGCUGGAUUCGCUAGUAAUCGCGCAUCAGCCACGGCGCGGUGAAAUACGUUCCCGGG
rnacentral:rRNA from 1 species